UUAACACCUUCUAAUGAAGUAACACACCAAUGAAUGACACAACAAUAGAUAUAUAUUGUGUCUGUAUAAUUGCUGUAGCAAUCACUCACUUGAGCGUUACAAUUGAGCUGUCGACAAUAGCAAAAGAAGGGAGCGAAACGCAAAGCCUAAAGGGAAAAGCUUAAAGAGGCUAAGUCGAGUUAAGCGAUACGAAAAAUUAAUACAUUAAAAAAAUAUUAAAAUUAAUUGCUGUUUGCUGGUGGAAAGUGAGGUAGAGCGGAUGCUUGCAGCUGCUCAUCGCAGUGAAUGGCACACAGCUUUAUUGGGUUACGACCGCGUCCAUUGUUGUUGUUGCAGCUUUUGUCCCGUGCCAGUGGUGGAGUCAGUACUAAUGUCAGUUCGUUGAACUUUAUGCAAUUAAUUAAUCAACUCGCCUGGAAUGAGCCAACUAAGCACCUUUGUGUUACUAUUUGUAUGUGUGUGUGUUUAGCUUUGGAAAUAUGUUUCUAUGGAUAAAAGUCUCAUAUAAGUUUAG